AGUAUUUGUUUCUCUACCAGCUUUGAAUUGCUGUAAAGCAUCAACAGUUGGUUACAGAAAAAUCAGAAAAUGGGAAUGUUUGAAAAGCAGUGUUGGAGAACAGUGUGCAAAGCGAGCUGGAAAGAAAAGAAAAAUGAAUAGAAAAAUUAGUCUAAUGCAAAGCUUGAUUGCUGACAGUGUAUCUUGUUAGGAACAGGAACAAGUCUAAAUGGAAAACAGAAGGAAGAAGAGCCAGAGGAAGACCACAAUGCAAUGGCAUGAAGUGAAUUCAAGUGGAAAGAAGGCAGAAGAUCAACGCAGAACUGAAAAGGCUUGCACAAGGGUUGAAGGUGUUUCCUGCCUGCUGAGUGAACAAACACUGCCAGGAACACUUUAUUUCUUCCACCCAAACCUCUUACCUUCAGUUUCAUUGUUUGUGCCUGUCAUUUUGUAUGCUGUAGCAGAGUCUCUGGGAAGGUUUCCCAUGGAGGUUUCCUCUGCUUGCAGCUCAUCCAUGUGCAAUUUCUGUGCAAAAAGUAGACGAGUUUGUUUUGCCUAGCAAUCCUGCA